rnacentral:misc_RNA from 1 species
AGUCGGCUGCCAAGCGUGGCGAGGGGAAGAUGUACUUUGUUGCAAAGUAUCAAGAAUUCAGAAGACAACAAACAGAAAAAGAUCAAAAGAAAAAGGCCGAAAAGGAAUUGCAGAGCUUGAAUGUGAAAAUCGUAAGUCUUUCUAGUUUCUUUAUCUUUUUCCUAAAUCCCAUAAAAAUAUAUUUCCUUAUGCAAAUAAAUUGAAAAAAACGUUUUAUUAAAUACAAUUAUCCUUAAGGAUAAUUUAAAGUGAAAAUGUCGUUUCGUAAUCUUUGAGCAAUAAUUUUGCAUUCCCUGGAUACCCGAAAAAAAAAUUUUGGCCUACGAAAUAGAUAAAUUCUUUACCAAAGGAAACAAUCCCUUUUGCGUAAAUUCCGUAAAUACCGAUACAAAUAUAUCACUUUGAGGUAUAAAUCAAUUCAUAAGAAUUUUUCGAGAGAAAAAAUUCAUUACAAGAGAUAUCAAUGACCUUUGAGGACAAAUAGUCCCGUGCGACGUCUGGUACUAUGCUGGAAUACAAAUUUCUCUUUUCAGUCUUGGUUAAACGACGGAAAAAAGUAUUAAUGAUCUUAAUUAAUAGAAAUACUUUAAUUCUAAAAAUGUUUCUAAAGCAAAUCAUGACUAGGAAUUAUAUUUUUGUCAAGUGCUGUUUCUUUAUUACUCUUUCUCUUGUUAUCAAUUCGGAACACGAAAGUGUCAACUAAGAAAUUUUGGCAGUCGAUUUAGGAAACGUCAAAAGUGUCGAUAGUUUUUCUUUAUUUAUUUCUUUGUUUCUCUUCUUUGUAUUUUUUUGAUAUGUGAAAAGUGGCUUGUUUCCUUGUUAAGUUUUAAUUAAGCAAAGGGAAAAAUACUGAACCUUGACGACCUAAAUAUAUUCCGAGAUUAAUAAAUAGUCAAGUAGCCUUUCCAACGAAUGUCAAGUAAAUGAGACCGAGAAAUUGGUAUAGCCUCUAACGAAUUCUACACUCAAACCUAAUCGAAAAUUCGGACCAUGAAAAAUUCAUUUGAAACUCCUGACACCUAAUUAGCAGUAAAAAAAACAAGCAAGUCAGGACAAGUGAAAAAGGAACGCCACUUUCCGUGACUGAAAAGCCGGGCUCGUCCCAAUCAACCAGGCAAAAUCGGCCCCUCUUUAAUCAAUGUCACGUGAUUAUAAAAUUCGAUCCAAUCGAGUUGGCAUGGCAACGACUGAAAAAAAGGCUGUCUGGGGCGCUAAUUGACUUUAAACUGCCGAAAGCGGCGCUCUUCAGAGACAUCGGCGUCACCUAAUUUGAAAUCUGUCGCUGAGAUCACAUCGGUGACGGACCGAGUGACGGCUCGAGUAAACUGUUUGAUUGAAUUCCUUUCCACAGCUUUUUUUCACGCUUCAAAGUAAAUUGGAUGAAGGGGAACAUAUUAUGGGUUUAGAUAAUCCUCUAUCAAUUCAGGAACCAUUAAAGACACAACUUUUAAUUAUGUUUCAUUUUUCAUUUUUGUUAUACAUAUAAAGAUUUGAAGAAGAAAUGGGAUCAGAGGGAGAUUCAUAGCACUUUUUUGUUUUGUUUGACCGGUCAAAUCAAUUUCCCCUCGAAAUCCAAUAUAUAGUGACCAGUGAAAUCAAUAUAGCCUCAAGGAAAUCUAGAGGAAACGUCGGUACUGCAAACAUGUAAUGAAAUAAAAGUGAUUUGGUUACGAUUUUCACCAAUGAUUGAGUAGUCGGUUGUUCGCUCAGUUGAAAUACGAAAAAGAAUGGUGGAAAACGCUGUAAUAUCUGUUAUGCUAUUUGGAAAGAAAUAAAAAACAAAUAACGAUCCUAAUGAUAGCGAAAUUAUUCUAGCGACAAAGCCCGACACUCUUCUAUAAACCUUAUAUAUGAGUUUUAAAAGCCUGCUUGGUACUGACGUAUUCCCUUCGCAAAUAGAAAAAAAUUGAGAGUAAAUCGAAACUGUUACACGGAUUCCUUUGAAGUUGGAUGCCGCACCGAUAAUGAUGCCCACUGAGCUCCAUCGGCGUCUACUUUUGAUGUAUUAUUGACAGACAAGGUGGAAAAAAUAUGCGUGUGGUUUUACCUGGACUUCUGACUAUCAACUUAAAUAGCUGACAAACUACUAGCCAAACUCGAUGGUAAACAAGUAGAACGUGAAGACUUACCCCACUACGAGGGAGAAGAGGUAGGCUAAAGGUGUCCCUUGUCCUCUAAUAUGUUGUAUACCGUAUAACCUCUCUUCUAUACUACAAAAAUUGCAGACUUCCUCCCAACUACCAGCAGUUAGGGCUAUCAUCAGAGAAAAGCUAUAUAUAGUCACUAAUUCAUGUUGUAUAAAUUUCAUGAUGGAUUAUUUUAUCGACUUGAUUAUUAUUAUAGCGAUUAUGCACUUGGGCUAAUUAGAAUUCUCCAAAGUCUACGCAACCGAAGCGAAACGAGGUUGUAAUAAUAAAAUGCUACCUCUUUAAAUUAAUUAUUUUCGGUAGCUUAAUUCGAUAUUUUGCCUAUUCCACUAAAUAUAAUCAAUAACUUUAUACCUAGCUAGCUAGCUAGAUAGAUAGAGAAAUCGUCUAAUAAUCAAAAGAAUUUAUCUACCUAAAGGUUUUGAAGAUCUAAGACAUGAAGUAGCUUCCGAUUAAAAAGUUAUUAAUUAAAUCUCUAUAAUUAAUAUUAUUAAACAGUAACUGAUAGCAUGCAACAUGUGUACUUUAUAUAAAAGGAAGACGAUUCUACUGGUAUUUUGGUUUAUAAAAAUGAGAUCGAAAGUAGCAGCCAAAGUCUAUAACACCUCCAUGCAUAAUUCAAGUGCAAGGAUUAGGUGGAUUAAACGGCCGUUUGUAGGAAUGUUUUAAUCGAGUAUUUUUUUUUAUAGAACAAAAUUAACCGAACCGUAUCUAUCUUUGGACGCCAGUUGGCGUCUAGACGCCUGAUUGGAAGCCCCGAAUUCUUAUGAAUAGACGCGAUUGCCAAUAGCUUCUUGACUUUUUUCCUGAAAUUGAGCGCAAUUGUCCGCGCCGCAAAUAUAUAAGCCAGUAGUUUGCACAAGGGUUUCUGACGUCACACGACGCUUCUUUAUCAUUAAGAAGAUUAAUUAUGCAUUGUACGGUUAAUCCUUUUAAUCUUUAGACAGCAGAACGUUAUUUGUUCGAUAAAGGUUAAGAAAAUCAGUAAAUACAGUUAAAUCAGUCAGCUACAAGACAAUAAAUGCUAUAAAUAGCAUACUAUAUGUAUAGGUAUGUCAAAAUCUUGAUCUCAUCAUAAGCAAUCGUCUUCUCUUCAGUCGUGUCGACAUUGAAAAGAGCCGAACUCACGCCGAAAUAACCGCAUAAACAGUGAUUGUUCGCGGUACGUUCUCCGAGAAAUCCUCUGAGACUAGUAUCAAUAAUCCCCUAAAACGUCUCAUACAUUCUCUCAGUUCGCCACUAAUAUUUACGCCAUGUACGGCAUAUUGACUUCAAUAGGACUAGAAGGAUAUAAAGUAUUCUAUUAAUAUUGGCGAGUACGGAGUACGUAGUGAAUACACGCAAAACUUGGAAAAUUGCUUGCGACAGCAUGGGACUUUUUAUAAUGAACAAAAUCCAUUAGGGCUCGAAAGCAUUAAUUCCUACAAUUUUUUGUGCAGCGUGUCAUCUGCCUGGUAAUUGGCAAUUUGCAGUGAUGCACAAACAUUCGUAGAGUAGAACGUAACAAUUUUCACGCAAUUAUCCUUUUUCUAUAUCUUUAACUUUUUUUUUCUAACUUUCGAUUUCAGUGUGUAAUAUGCCUAGUCGCCCGAGCUAACAUGCAAACUCUGCCGUGUCAGCAUAAAGUAGUUUGUCGAAAAUGUUUUAUCAAGACCAUCCAGUCGGCCGUCACUCAGCGUUGUUUGCCGCUUCGUUGCGUUGUUUGUCGGACGCGCGUGCUCAAGUUGAGGCAGGACGAACCACCCUUAAGCCCUCAGCCGCCUCCUCGAGUUUGUACAACGAGUGGCCCACAUCAGCAUUCUCCAAGGCACGGCACGAAAGCCAGAAAGGUCCAUUCGGCUUGCAAAACACCACCCAUCGAAAAAACCGAAGAGUUUAAAAUAACAGUCGAUGUUGGACAGUGCCCCAAACAUUUGAAACCGAUUAUCCGACGUCCAAAGCAUAAACAGAGGAGUCAGAGUGCCACUAGGGAAGCUCGACGAGUCACAUUUCAAGAUGGAGACCGCAGAAAUAGUACAGUCGAUAGUUAAUAAAGAUAUGUAAUGGAAUUUUCUAAUGUUUUCCAUUGUAGUUAUUUUUAGAACAUUUGAGCUUUAAAAAGUUCAAAGGAAACAGACGAAGAAUUGGAGAUUAUGCAUUUUUUCCUUUUGUUUCUCGUUUCUUUCAUAAUUUUUUUGUAAAUGGGACCACUUAGAAGCUUUUGUAACAUUAUUGGCAAAAGAAAUGACAGCGAGGUGAGAUACCUCUAUACUGGGCGCAAUAAAAAGGUGGGCACGCAGUAAUUGUUUCCAUAUCAGACUGUAAAGGAGUUGUGAUGGAUGAUUUUAUUAUAUAAAAGCUGUCUUACCCGACCCAGAAUAGUUUUCUGUCCUUGUAUAUCUACUGCAUUUAGUGAGCCUGUUGAUACGGAUUAUAUACAAUAUGGGUGUAAAAAGGAAUUUUCCCAUGUCGAAAACAUCUGCAGAGUUCUUCUAGGGAUCUUACUGUAUGAAAAUGGGAUUUUGCUUUUUCUCAAUAGUUUCUAUGACGUCAUAUUGGUUUUUAUUUCAUAAGAGGAGACAAAUCGAAAAUCAACUGACUGUAUUUACUUAAAACUGAAAUUCUCACGUCUUAGGUUCUAGAGGACUACGAUAUCCUGAGAAAAGGAAAAUAACUGGAAGGCAGGUGUGUGUGCCGCUAUUGUGCCAAUUACACCAGCCAGUUCUUUGUUAUUUUUUUUAUGAGAAGAGAGACGAGACUAUCAGAGUGGUUAUGUAGUUUACAGUAUAUUGGGAGGGAAAGGAGGGUAUGGGAAAUGGGGUUCACAGGGCCCAAAGCCUUAAAGGUCAAAGGGGGCGAGCUAGCUGACGAGAGAAGGCAAAACUGAAAAAGACAAGGCUUCUGCAACGGCCCGCUGCAAUAGCUUUAAAAUUAACAAUUUGCACUUUGAACGGAAGAGUAACGGCAAGCAACUAAAAAAGUGAUCUUACACAUUUUGAGAUGGCGAGUGAUUGAAUAUUAAUAUCACAAACUAUUAGGCAAGACAGUCUUCCUAGGGCACUAUAUACUUACAUUUUAAUGUAUAGUAUUACAUGUAUACACUAUGCAUUCACAUUCUUAGCAUGUUUUUAUAGUUGUAUUUAUGUAAAUGGUCGAAGAAGAGAAGAAUAAGGAGUUAUAUCCAUACUCCUCCAUCAAUCCCUGCAUAUCAAAAUGCAAAUGUGAAGGCAUGAUUGUUAUCGUUCUUUGAUUGACUUGUGCGAUUUUUUUAGCAAGAGAUAAAAACUUACGAUAUAUUUGUUAU